UGCUCGUAGUUUACAUGUCUUGUCAUCUGACAUUGUUGCCAAAAGGCCUUUUUCUUUGUACCAGCAUGUUAUGUGUCUCUAGCUGUCUGUAGUGUGUUUAAAGUCAUUACCCCACUUCAUCAUGAAGACAACAUUAGGUUACAUUCUGCAUUUGUAUCCAAGGAGUUGGCCCACCUGGGGAUGGCUUUAUAAACAAACACCCUCCCCGCUCCAGGUCAAGCCGAAAGGGACGGCAAAGAAGUAUGGUGUGGCCAGGUGAUGGCUUGGUACCAGACACAGCAGAACCCCAUGUGGCCCCAAGCCCCACUCUCCCUAGCACCGAAGAUGUCAUCAGGAAGACUGAACAGAUCACCAAAAACAUACAGGAGCUCUUAAGAGCAGCCCAAGAAAAUAAACAUGACAGUUAUAUUCCCUGCUCAGAGAGGAUACACGUAGCUGUUACAGAAAUGGCAGCAUUAUUCCCCAAAAAACCCAAGUCUGAUAUGGUGAGGACUUCCCUUCGUUUACUGACGUCCAGUGCCUACCGACUGCAGUCAGAGUGCAAGAAGACCCUCCCAGGGGA
rnacentral:sRNA from 1 species